AUUGAACGCUGGCGGCAGGCCUAACACAUGCAAGUCGAACGAGUGGCGGACGGGUGCGUAAUGUCUGGGAAACUGCCUGAUGGAGGGGGAUAACUACUGGAAACGGUAGCUAAUACCGCAUACCAUCGGAUGUGCCCAGAUGGGAUUAGCUAGUAGGUGGGGUAAAGGCUCACCUAGGCGACGAUCCCUAGCUGGGCUGCGAGGAUGACCAGCCACACUGGAACGGAGACACGGUCCAUACUCCUACGUGAGGCAGGAGUGGGGAAUAUGGCACGAUGGGCGCAAGCCUGAUGCAGCGAUGCCGCGUGUAUGAAGAAGGCCGUCGGGUUGUAAAGUACUUGCAGCGGGGAGGCGUUACCCGCAGAAGAAGCACCGGGUAACUCCGUGCCAGCAGCCGCGGUAAUUC
rnacentral:rRNA from 1 species